rnacentral:rRNA from 1 species
AGCAGUCGCCGCGGUAAUACGGAGGGUGCAAGCGUUAAUCGGAAUUACUGGGCGUAAAGCGCACGCAGGCGGUCUGACAAGUCAGAUGUGAAAUCCCCGGGCUUAACCUGGGAACUGCAUUUGAAACUGUCAGGCUGGAGUCUUGUAGAGGGGGGUAGAAUUCCAGGUGUAGCGGUGAAAUGCGUAGAGAUCUGGAGGAAUACCGGUGGCGAAGGCGGCCCCCUGGACAAAGACUGACGCUCAGGUGCGAAAGCGUGGGGAGCAAACAGGAUUAGAUACCCGAGUAGUCCCUGUCUCUUAUAC